rnacentral:misc_RNA from 1 species
CGCACAUAAGCGGCUUUCUGGCCGUCGAACGGGUAGCUGCCACGGCAGCGACGCCGCGGAGCCGCACCUGCAAGGAGAUUGCCAAAAUGACGAGCAACCCGACGGAGUGGUGCACAGUGGAGUUGGUGGACGACUCCAUCUACACCUGGAGCGCCGUUAUUCUAGGCCCCUCGAACACGCCCUAUGAGGGCGGGCACUUUGCGCUGGAAAUACAAUUUCCGAUCAGCUACCCGUUCGACCCACCGGUUUUGAAAUUCCUCACGAAGAUAUAUCACUGCAACAUAGCCGAAGGCAGAAUCCAUGUGGACAUUCUGAGCUCAUCCUGGUCGCCGGUCCUGACCGUGGACAAGAUUCUGCUCUCCAUCCAAUCGCUGCUGUCGGACCCCAUUAGGGACAGCCGCAUGAUGUCCGCCGCGGCCGCCAUGUUCAAGGAAGACCGCGAGAAGUACGAACGCUUGGCACGCGAGUGGACCGAUCGCUACGCCAAGAUCCAGGUUGGAGUGGUGUUUGUGGGGUCCAGUGGAGCGCGGCACGCAGCCGGGCCUCGUGUCCAGGGGCGCAGGCUCGUAGCAGCGGCCUUGGGGUGCGUCCUCCUCCCGCCGUUCGCCUGGGAAGGAUGUGCCCGGCUCUCCGGACGUGGACUUCGACAAAGUGCGCCUGCGUAGAACGUGCCCGCCCACAUAGCGCCCCGGGACGGGUGGGUUGUCCAGGACUUGUGAAAUCCAGCGACGUUUUGAAGGAGCGCUCUGG